rnacentral:rRNA from 1 species
AUGCCGAUGUCCGUAGAACUCGAUUCAAAGUCCUCAAAGUCUCCGCUGAUCUCUCUACUGCAUUUGCAUCCAUUGCACUUCCCAACACGCACUCAUAGUCAUAGCCGACCAGCCAUGGCGAAGAUGCUGAUGCCAUCGCCCCGAUCUCUCGUCCUCCUCCUCCUCCUCGCCACCCCCUUCUUCGUCCUCCUCCCCAACCCCUCCUCCGCCUCAUCCCACGCCUCCCUCCGGAAGUACACCGAGGAGGUCAACGAGGCCCACGUGGUCGUCCUCACCGCAGCCAACUUCUCCUCCUUCCUCGACGUCCGCCGCCAUGUCGUGGUCGACUUCUACGCGCCCUGGUCCUACUGGUCCCGCAAGCUCGCCCCGGUGUACGCCGCGGCCGCGUCGCACCUGGCCGACAAGGGGCUCGACGUCACGCUCGCCAAGGUCGACGCCACCCAGGACCGUCAGCUCGCGCGCGCCCACGGCGUCGACGGAUACCCCACCGUCCUCUUCUUCGUCGACGGCAUGGCCAGGCACUACCCCUACUAUGGCGAGAGGACCAAGGGCUGA